rnacentral:rRNA from 1 species
AUUGAACGCUGGCGGCAGGCCUAACACAUGCAAGUCGAACGGUAACAGGAAGCAGCUUGCUGCUUUGCUGACGAGUGGCGGACGGGUGAGUAAUGUCUGGGAAACUGCCCGAUGGAGGGGGAUAACUACUGGAAACGGUAGCUAAUACCGCAUAACGUCGCAAGACCAAAGAGGGGGACCUUAGGGCCUCUUUCCAUCGGAUGUGCCCAGAUGGGAUUAGCUAGUAGGUGGGGUAACGGCUCACCUAGGCGACGAUCCCUAGCUGGUCUGAGAGGAUGACCAGCCACACUGGAACUGAGACACGGUCCAGACUCCUACGGGAGGCAGCAGUGGGGAAUAUUGCACAAUGGGCGAAAGCCUGAUGCAGCAAUGCCGCGUGUAUGAAGAAGGCCUUCGGGUUGUAAAGUACUUUCAGCGGGGAGGAAGGGAGUAAAGUUAAUCCCUUUACUCAUUGACGUUACCCGCAGAAGAAGCCCCGGCUAACUCCGUG